rnacentral:rRNA from 1 species
AACGAACGCUGGCGGCAGGCCUAACACAUGCAAGUCGAGCGAGGACUUCGGUCCUAGCGGCGGACGGGUGAGUAACGCGUGGGAACGUGCCCUUUGCUACGGAAUAGCCCCGGGAAACUGGGAGUAAUACCGUAUGUGCCCGAGAGGGGAAAGAUUUAUCGGCAAAGGAUCGGCCCGCGUUGGAUUAGGUAGUUGGUGGGGUAAUGGCCUACCAAGCCGACGAUCCAUAGCUGGUUUGAGAGGAUGAUCAGCCACACUGGGACUGAGACACGGCCCAGACUCCUACGGGAGGCAGCAGUGGGGAAUUUUAGACAAUGGGGGAAACCCUGAUCUAGCCAUGCCGCGUGAGCGAUGAAGGCCUUAGGGUUGUAAAGCUCUUUCAGUGGGGAAGAUAAUGACGGUACCCACAGAAGAAGCCCCGGCUAACUCCGUGCCAGCAGCCGCGGUAACAC